rnacentral:rRNA from 1 species
AUACGCCAGAAGUAAUUGGUAUUAAUACCUCAUAGUAUAGUACUUUGGCAUACAAGGAACUAUUAAGUCACAACGGACAAAAGAUGAGCAUGCGUCCCAUUAGCUAGUUGGUAAGGUAACGGCUUACCAAGGCUACGAUGGGUAGGGGUCCUGAGAGGGAGAUCCCCCACACUGGUACUGAGACACGGACCAGACUCCUACGGGAGGCAGCAGUGAGGAAUAUUGGACAAUGGGCGCAAGCCUGAUCCAGCCAUGCCGCGUGCAGGAUGACGGUCCUAUGGAUUGUAAACUGCUUUUAUACAGGAAGAAACACUCCGACGUGUCGGAGCUUGACGGUACUGUAAGAAUAAGGAUCGGCUAACUCCGUG